GCGGCCAUAGGACCCUGAAAGCACUGCAUCCCGUCCGAUCUGCAAAGUUAAGCAGGCGGUACCGCCUAGCUAGUACUGCGGUGGGGGACCACGCAGGGAAUCCUAGGUGCUGCAGUUU
rnacentral:rRNA from 1 species